rnacentral:rRNA from 1 species
GAUGAACGCUGGCGGCGUGCCUAAUACAUGCAAGUCGAGCGAACAGAUGAGGAGCUUGCUCCUCUGACGUUAGCGGCGGACGGGUGAGUAACACGUGGAUAACCUACCUAUAAGACUGGGAUAACUUCGGGAAACCGGAGCUAAUACCGGAUAAUAUAUUGAACCGCAUGGUUCAAUAGUGAAAGACGGUUUUGCUGUCACUUAUAGAUGGAUCCGCGCCGCAUUAGCUAGUUGGUAAGGUAACGGCUUACCAAGGCAACGAUGCGUAGCCGACCUGAGAGGGUGAUCGGCCACACUGGAACUGAGACACGGUCCACACUCCUACGGGAGGCAGCAGUAGGGAAUCUUCCGCAAUGGGCGAAAGCCUGACGGAGCAACGCCGCGUGAGUGAUGAAGGUCUUCGGAUCGUAAAACUCUGUUAUUAGGGAAGAACAAAUGUGUAAGUAACUAUGCACGUCUUGACGGUACCUAAUCAGAAAGCCACGGCUAACUACGUG